UACGAACCGUGCGAACGUUGUUCGGAAUCACUGGGCUUAAAGGGCGCGUAGGCGGGCCAGCAAGUCAGGGGUGAAAUCCCGCGGCUCAACCGCGGAAGUGCCUUUGAUACUGCGGGCCUGGAGGGAGGUAGGGGCGUGCGGAACUUCCGGUGGAGCGGUGAAAUGCGUAGAUAUCGGAAGGAACACCGGUGGCGAAAGCGGCGCGCUGGACCUCUUCUGACGCUGAGGCGCGAAAGCCAGGGGAGCAAACAGG
rnacentral:rRNA from 1 species